rnacentral:rRNA from 1 species
UCCUACGGGAGGCAGCAGUGAGGAAUAUUGGUCAAUGGGCGGAAGCCUGAACCAGCCAAGUCGCGUGAGGGAAUAAGGCCCUACGGGUCGUAAACCUCUUUUGCCGGGGAGCAGGGGCGGGGACGUGUCCCGGCCCGGAGAGUACCCGGAGAAAAAGCAUCGGCUAACUCCGUGCCAGCAGCCGCGGUAAUACGGAGGAUGCGAGCGUUAUCCGGAUUUAUUGGGUUUAAAGGGUGCGUAGGCGGGCUUUUAAGUCAGCGGUAAAAAUUCGGGGCUCCACCCCGUCCGGUCGUUCGAAC